UAAGUCUACCAAUUUAUAACAAUAUAUCAAUAAGAAGAGAUCAUUUGGAUUUUAGUGGUUGGGGCAAAGAAGUUAUCCAUGAACUUAUUGGGAUGUGUUCUUUUCAAAUUUAAAUCGAAAGGCGUUCACUCCUAGAUUUAUUUUACCUCGUGUCCACGAACGAAUUUUUACCGUUAAUCAGCAUCUAGCUAAGAUAAAAAAAAAAUCCUAGCCCUUUCGAUCCAUAUACAUGAAUCUAUAUUUACCUUUUUCACAUAAAC
rnacentral:lncRNA from 1 species